rnacentral:rRNA from 1 species
UACGUAGGGUGCAAGCGUUGUCCGGAAUUAUUUGGGCGUAAAGAGCUCGUAGGCGGUCUGUCGCGUCGGAUGUGAAAAUCCAGGGCUCAACCCUGGACCUGCAUUCGAUACGGGCAGACUAGAGUUCGGCAGGGGAGACUGGAAUUCCUGGUGUAGCGGUGAAAUGCGCAGAUAUCAGGAAGAACACCAAUGGCGAAGGCAGCUCUCUGGGACGGUACUGACGCUGAGACGCGAAAGCGUGGGGAGCGAACAGG